UACGGAGGGUGCAAGCGUUAUCCGGAUUCACUGGGGUUAAAGGGUGCGUAGGUGGGUUGGUAAGUCAGUGGUGAAAUCUCCGAGCUUAACUUGGAAACUGCCAUUGAUACUAUCAGUCUUGAAUAUUGUGGAGGUCAGCGGAAUAUGUCAUGUAGCGGUGAAAUGCUUAGAUAUGACAUAGAACACCAAUUGCGAAGGCAGCUGGCUACGCAUAUAUUGACACUGAGGCACGAAAGCGUGGGGAUCAAACAGG
rnacentral:rRNA from 1 species